rnacentral:rRNA from 1 species
AUUGAACGCUGGCGGCAGGCCUAACACAUGCAAGUCGAACGAGUGGCGGACGGGUGAGUAAUGUCUGGGAAACUGCCUGAUGGAGGGGGAUAACUACUGGAAACGGUAGCUAAUACCGCAUACCCUCGGAGUGCCCAAGGUGGGAUUAGCUGGUUGGGGGGGUAACGGCUCCCCAAGGCGACGAUCCCUAGCGGGUCUGAGAGGAUGCCCAGCCACACUGGAACUGAGACACGGUCCAGACUCCUACGGGAGGCAGCAGGGGGGAAUAGUGCACAAUGGGCGCAAGCCUGAUGCAGCCAUGCCGCGUGUAUGAAGAAGGCCUUCGGGUUGUAAAGUACGUUCAGCGGGGAGGCGUUACCCGCAGAAGAAGCACCGGCUAACUCCGUGCCAGCAGCCGCGGUAAUUC